rnacentral:rRNA from 1 species
UACGUAGGGGGCAAGCGUUGUCCGGAUUUAUUGGGCGUAAAGAGCGUGUAGGCGGCCUGACAGGUCUGCUGUGAAAACUCGAGGCUCAACCUCGAGAUGUCGGCGGAAACCGUCUGGCUAGAGUCCGGAAGAGGAGAGUGGAAUUCCUGGUGUAGCGGUGGAAUGCGUAGAGAUCCGGAAGAACACCGGUGGCGAAGGCGGCCCGCUGGGCAACUGCUGACACUGAGGCGCGACAGCGUGGGGAGCAAACAGG